rnacentral:piRNA from 1 species
UGAAACUCUGGCCAGCACAACACACU